CGUGGGUAACCUGCCCAAGAGAUCGGGAUAACACCUGGAAACAGAUGCUAAUACCGUAUAACAACAGAUGAUGCCUAUCAACUGUUUAAAAGAUGGUUCUGCUAUCACUCUUGGAUGGACCUGCGGUGCAUUAGCUAGUUGGUAGGGUAACGGCCUACCAAGGCGAUGAUGCAUAGCCGAGUUGAGAGACUGAUCGGCCACAUUGGGACUGAGACACGGCCCAAACUCCUACGGGAGGCAGCAGGC
rnacentral:rRNA from 1 species